GGAAGCCGCACAUGUACGCGGCAGCAAAACAAUUCAAAGGAAGCGCGGCGUGAAAACACAUCCUGCCGUUCACACACGACCCGCCUGUUCACGCACACAAAGUGACUGUCUAAUUCUCUGUGAUGAUGUUCAUCUGCAUCAGCAGUCUCACCCAAAGGAAUUUCCCAGGUCAGUGUGGCAGCUCAGAGUUUUGGAGCACAGAUUUGGAUGUUUGUCUUCCCUGCGCAUCGUGCAAGCAGUACCCAAAGACUCCGUCCUGCAACACAUGUAAAUCUGUGGAUGAGACGCCUGAUGUGUGGAAACUGGCAGCCAUCACCAGUUUCUCGGUGCUCGCUGUUGUGCUGGUUGGUGCUGCGUUGAUUAUCGGCGUCAUGGUGCAUCGACGCAAAUCACACAAACGACCUCUACGUGAACCCAUUGAAGAAACUGCGGGGCCACUUUACCAAGCUUAAAACAGCUCACCUCAUCUUCUUCUGGAAACAGAUGUGACAGAACCAUGGAGCGACUGAUUACGAGCCAGGCGGAGGAACCUCUGGAUGAUGAACCGUACACUCUGACUGCAGGGGGAACCCUGGCUACAAUUGGACCAUUUUAAUUUAUUAGACUGUUGGGUGGAGAGACGUCCUCAGUUCUCACUGUGGGUCUAGUGGUGACCACAGGACUUGCAAAGAGCAACUCUCCCACCUCUGUAGGAAUAGUAACAUCUUAUUACUAGCGGUAUCAUCUUUAGAAACCAUGUGCCUUUAUAUUCCACUUAUUUUAGAUCUGCAAGACCUUUGCGGGUUUUCGGAUGUUUGAUUCAAAAAAUCCUGAUCCAGUCCAUGCUCCUGUAUUGCGUUGUGCUGUUUUUCAGCAGGACUCCAGUGAAUGUAACACAGCUACAGCUGCCAGCUGGGCUGCAGUUUGAUCCCCUGCUAUUCUAAGGGGUUAGACGGGGUCUUGGUGCUGGUCAUUUACCACAACAGCCUCUGAAAGAUAAAUCACAUGUGAGUAAGACAUACUGUUUGGCACAUUAAGGCCAUUUGAAUGUAGCUACUUCUAGGUGAAAUGUAUUCUAGCCUUGCCAGUACCUCCAUGUACCUGUUCUUUUAGUAGCCUGAUAAAGCUGUUGAUUAAGGGAGCAAACCGUACUCAUGCACUGUUACUGGGUUUCCUGAGACCAACACUGACCGCUCACCGCAGGUCAUCAUAACAUUGUCUUGUCUGUUUUCAUGUUACUAAGUUUUAGGAGAAUUUAGAUUUAGUCUCGUCUGUUCCAAUCCCCUGAAUUCACAUCACCGUCCGAGUGCCUGUAGGACAGGAUGCUUGAAACACUAGACACACAAUCCCAAACUGCUAACAUGUGGGAAUGUUGCGAGGAAUGUACUGUAGUGAAGAAAAUUACAGACACCGACAGUGUUUUAGGUGGAGCUUCACAAUCACACUGCUUGUUGAAUCGGACCUGUGAAGAUCUUUUUAAAGCUACAAAGAAAAGAAAAA
ensembl:lncRNA